AACGAACGCUGGCGGCAGGCCUAACACAUGCAAGUCGAACGAGAAGCCACCUUCGGGUGGUGGACAGUGGCAGACGGGUGAGUAACGCGUGGGAACGUGCCUUUCGGUUCGGGAUAACCCAGGGAAACUUGGGCUAAUACCGGAUACGCCCUUCGGGGGAAAGAUUCAUUGCCGAAAGAUCGGCCCGCGUCGGAUUAGCU
rnacentral:rRNA from 1 species